rnacentral:rRNA from 1 species
GACGUAGGGCGCGAGCGUUGCCCGGAUUUAUUGGGCGUAAAGAGCUCGUAGGCGGUUUGUCGCGUCGGCCGUGAAAUCUCCACGCUUAACGUGGAGCGUGCGGUCGAUACGGGCAGACUUGAGUUCGGUAGGGGAGACUGGAAUUCCUGGUGUAGCGGUGAAAUGCGCAGAUAUCAGGAGGAACACCGGUGGCGAAGGCGGGUCUCUGGACAGUUCCUGACGCUGAGGCACGAAGGCCAGGGGAGCAAACGGG